GUCAGUGUCAGUCAGUCAGUGAGUCAGUGUCAGUCAGUCAGUGUCAGUCAGUCUCAGUGCCAGUCUCAGUGCCAGUCUCAGUGCCAGUCUCAGUGCCAGUCUCAGUGCCAGUCUCAGUGUCAGUGUCAGUCUCAGUGCCAGUCAGUCUGUCUGUCUGUCAGUCUGUCUGUCAGUGUGUCAGUCUGUCUGCCUGCCUGCGUCAGUCAGUCUGUGUCUGUCAGUCUGUGUCUGUCAGUCUGUGUCUGUCAGUCUGUGUCUGUCAGUCUGUGUCUGUCAGUCUGUGUCUGUCAGUCUGUGUCAGUCUGUCUGUGUCAGUGUCAGUCUGUGUCAGUGUCAGUCUGUGUCAGUGUCAGUCUGUGUCAGUGUCAGUCUGUGUCAGUGUCAGUCUGUCUGUCUGUGUCUGUCAGUCUGUGUCAGUGAUAGAAGUGACAGCUCAGGGAGUUACCUUGAAUGCCCCUCUCUUCGCUUUACAGAUGGGGGUCCUCCUGCCAUGUACUAACACUACAUCGUGCGCGGUGUCCCCGGGGGCGGCGGUGCUCUCUGCUCUCAGUCCGCGGUGGGUGGCCGCCGGUAGGUGACCCAGUACUACCCUCACUCUGUGCAUGUUCUCCCAGCGACUGAGCUCACAGCGCGCGGCACCUGCAAUACCUCGGCAUCACGUGACACUGCAAGCACCAAUCACCAAUCACCGCCACUCAGCAAGGCUUCCGGGUCCGCCCUCCGGUUACCCUGACAACCGAGUGAGGG